AUUGAACGCUGGCGGCAUGCCUUACACAUGCAAGUCGAACGGCAGCGGGGACUUCGGUCCGCCGGCGAGUGGCGAACGGGUGAGUAAUGUAUCGGAACGUACCAUUCAGUGGGGGAUAACUAUCCGAAAGGAUAGCUAAUACCGCAUAUUCUGUGAGCAGGAAAGCAGGGGAUCGCAAGACCUUGCGCUGAUUGAGCGGCCGAUAUCAGAUUAGCUAGUUGGUGAGGUAAAGGCUCACCAAGGCGACGAUCUGUAGCGGGUCUGAGAGGAUGCUCCGCCACACUGGAACUGAGCCACGGUCCAGACUCCUACGGGAGGCAGCAGUGGGGAAUUUUGGACAAUGGGGGCAACCCUGAUCCAGCCAUGCCGCGUGAGUGAAGAAGGCCUUCGGGUUGUAAAGCUCUUUCGGCCGGGAAAAAAUUGCAUGGGUUAAUACCCUGUGUGGAUGAUGGUACCGGAAUAAGAAGCACCGGCUAACUACGUGCCAGCAGCCGCCGUAAUAC
rnacentral:rRNA from 1 species